AGGGAUUGCCUCAGUAACGGCGAGUGAAGCGGCAACAGCUCAAAUUUGAAAUCUGGCCCUCUCAGGGUCCGAGUUGUAAUUUGGAGAAGAUGCUUCGGGUGUGGCCCCGGUCUAAGUUCCUUGGAACAGGACGUCACAGAGGGUGAGAAUCCCGUACGUGACCGGUGGCCUCCCCCGUGUGAAGCUCUUUCGACGAGUCGAGUUGUUUGGGAAUGCAGCUCAAAAUGGGUGGUAAAUUUCAUCUAAAGCUAAAUAUUGGCCAGAGACCGAUAGCGCACAAGUAGAGUGAUCGAAAGAUGAAAAGCACUUUGGAAAGAGAGUUAAACAGUACGUGAAAUUGUUGAAAGGGAAGCGCUUGCAACCAGACUUGCGCGCGGCCGAUCAUCUGGUGUUCUCACCGGUGCACUCGGCCGCGCUCAGGCCAGCAUCGGUUUGGGUGGCUGGAUAAAGGCCUCGGGAAUGUGGCUCUCUUCGGGGAGUGUUAUAGCCCGAGGUGCAAUGCAGCCUACCCGGACCGAGGACCGCGCUUCGGCUAGGAUGCUGGCGUAAUGGUUGUAAGCGACCCGUCUUGAAACACGGACCAAGGAGUCUAACAUCUAUGCGAGUGUUUGGGUGUCAAACCCAUACGCGUAAUGAAAGUGAACGGAGGUGAGAACCCUUAAGGGUGCAUCAUCGACCGAUCCUGAUGUCUUCGGAUGGAUUUGAGUAAGAGCAUAGCUGUUGGGACCCGAAAGAUGGUGAACUAUGCCUGAAUAGGGUGAAGCCAGAGGAAACUCUGGUGGAGGCUCGCAGCGGUUCUGACGUGCAAAUCGAUCGUCAAAUUUGGGCAUAGGGGCGAAAGACUAAU
rnacentral:rRNA from 1 species